AAAGCGCACGCAGGCGGUUUGUUAAGUCAGAUGUGAAAUCCCCGAGCUUAACUUGGGAACUGCAUUUGAAACUGGCAAGCUAGAGUCUUGUAGAGGGGGGUAGAAUUCCAGGUGUAGCGGUGAAAUGCGUAGAGAUCUGGAGGAAUACCGGUGGCGAAGGCGGCCCCCUGGACAAAGACUGACGCUCAGGUGCGAAAGCGUGGGGAGCAAACAGGAUUAGAUACCCGGGU
rnacentral:rRNA from 1 species